AGCGCAGACGGUUGAUUAAGUCUGAUGUGAAAGCCCGGAGCUCAACUCCGGAAUGGCAUUGGAAACUGGUUAACUUGAGUGCAGUAGAGGUAAGUGGAACUCCAUGUGUAGCGGUGGAAUGCGUAGAUAUAUGGAAGAACACCAGUGGCGAAGGCGGCUGUCUGGUCUGCAACUGACGCUGAGGACUCAAAGCGAUGGGUAGCGAACA
rnacentral:rRNA from 1 species